AGUGAACGCUGGCGGUAGGCCUAACACAUGCAAGUCGAACGGCAGCACAGUAAGAGCUUGCUUUUACGGGUGGCGAGUGGCGGACGGGUGAGUAAUACAUCGGAAUCUACUUUUUCGCUGGGGGUAACGUAGGGAAACGUACGCUAAUACCGCAAUCGAACUACGUGUGAAAGCAGGGCAUCUUCUGACCUUUUGCUAUGGAAGGAGCCGAUGUCGGAUUAGUUAGUUGGCGGGGGAGAUGCCCGCCAAGGAAACGAUCCGUAGCUGGUCUGAGAGGAUGGUCAGCCACACACGAACUGACACACGCUCCAGACACACACGGGAGGCAGCAGGGGGGAAUAUUGAACAAUGGGCGCAAGCCUGAUCCAGCCAGACCGCGUGGGUGAAGAAGGCCUGCGGGUUGUAAAGCACUUUUGUUGGGAAAGAAAAGAAGCAGGUUAACACCCCGCUGUUCUGACGGUACCCAAAGAAUAAGCACCGGCUAACCUGGU
rnacentral:rRNA from 1 species